rnacentral:tRNA from 1 species
GUAAAUAUAGUUUAAAUAAAAUAUUAGAUUGCAAAUCUAACAAUAAGAGCUCAAUUCUCCCUAUUUACC